GUGGGGAAUAUUGGGCAAUGGGGGCAACCCUGACCCAGCGACGCCGCGUGGGUGAAGAAAUCCUUCGGGAUGUAAAGCCCUGUUGUAUGGGAAGAGCAGAAGACGGUACCAUACGAGGAAGCCCCGGCAAACUACGUGCCAGCAGCCGCGGUAAUACGUAGGGGGCAAGCGUUGUCCGGAAUUACUGGGCGUAAAGCGCACGCAGGCUGAAUUAUAAGUCGGUAGUCAAAUACGGAGGCUCAACUUCCGGAUAUCUAUCGAUACUGUAAAUCUAGAGUAUGUGAGAGGGAAGCGGAAUUCCCGGUGGAGCGGUGAAAUGCGUAGAUAUCGGGAGGAACACCAGUGGCGAAGGCGGCUUCCUGGCACAAUACUGACGCUCAUGUGCGAAAGCUAGGGCAGCGAACGGGAUUAGAAACCCUAGUAGUCC
rnacentral:rRNA from 1 species